rnacentral:rRNA from 1 species
CCUACGGGUGGCAGCAGUGAGGAAUAUUGGUCAAUGGACGAGAGUCUGAACCAGCCAAGUAGCGUGAAGGAUGACUGCCCUAUGGGUUGUAAACUUCUUUUAUCAAGGGAUAAAACGAGGCACGUGUGCCUUUUUGCAUGUACUUUAUGCAUAAGGAUCGGCUAACUCCGUGCCAGCAGCCGCGGUAAUACGGAGGAUCCGAGCGUUAUCCGGAUUUAUUGGGUUUAAAGGGCGCGUAGAUGGUUUGUUAAGUCAGUUGUGAAAGUUUGGGGCUCAACCGUAAAAUUGCAAUUGAUAAUGGAAGGCUUGAGUAUAGUUGAGGUAGGCGGAAUUCGUGGUGUAGCGGUGAAAUGCUUAGAUAUCACGAAGAACUCCGAUUGCGAAGGCAGCUUACUAAACUGCCACUGACAUUGAUGCGCGAAAGUGUGGGGAUCAAACAGGAUUAGAUACCCGGGUAGUC